CAAGUACUUUUAAGGUGCUCUGCACAGAUCUGUUUAGAAAGGUUUUAAGAGAGUUCCAGUGUAGAUGCUGAUAAUUAAAAUGCUAAUUAAAAAUAUUCCCAAUGGUAUUCACUGACAGUGUUGCCAGAACAGGUGAGAUUUCAAUUCUCUUGCUAUUCCUUUUAGAACUAGAGGAGUGUUCUGCACUGAGUUGAGAUGAACUGAGCCAUGAAUAUUUCAAGGCAUUUACUUGCUGACUUUUCUCCAGAUUUCUUUAGUUUCACUUUUUCAUCUCCUCAAGACUGUUCUGAAAGGCCUUGAGGUAACAGCCACGAGUGCAAGGACGUGUCAGUGAGGGGCCCCAGACAGUGCCAUCUCCAAAGUCAGACCUUCAUGGACACCAAAGUAAAGAUUUCAAAUACUCAAUUCUUGCAGCCUAAAGUAGCACAAAACAGGUGAGUGUUCUCAGGAGAGCCCCCUGCUCUGCAGGUUUGAUUGGCAGGAAUUCAAAAUGCUUUGAGUGCUAUAACCUGAAAGUAGGAAAUAGCACAGGAAGUUGGGACUGUAACGAGAAGAAAGCUGAAGAUGGGAAAAUCAAAGGAGUGGAAUUUGGAUUAGAGGGAUCCUCAGAAAGCAGAAAAGGGGCUGCCACUUGUCUGAGUAAAAGUUGCACUCUAGUGAGGUGGGCAGCUGUUGGCUUUCACACAGGGAUGCCAGGACAAAGGUUUGAUGGCUUCUGUCCCUGGAGUGUGGGAUCUCUGGGACUGCAGGACAUGCAGGUUUCACAUAUUUUUCUUGACUAGAUCCUGUGUCAUGAGGGAUAUGGACGGGAACUCUCUUCAAAAUGGCAAGUUAAUGUAAACUUUAGAAAAAUCAAUUUUCUGUAGCCAAGAGGAAUGCUGCUUUCAGCCUUCCCUUGGAAGUGCCAGCUGAAGUAUUUCCAGAAUCAGCAGGUCUUACUGGAGCAGUGUGCAGGAGUGGUGGUGAAAGGAACCAUCUGACAGAGGAGGAAGGAGUGCAAAAGUGGAAGAAGGUGAACAUACACUAAACCAGAAUGUCUGAAGGUAACAAUGAAGAAUAUAAUUGCUGCCCAAACAUUGCUUUCCUUCACACCUUGUGAUAACCAUGGGCUGGGCUUAGUUGUAAAAACUGAUGUCUGUGACACUGCUUUUUGAAGUGAGAAUCCCCAGGAGCUGCCUAAAGACAUCCUGAGUGUUCCAGAAUAAUUUGCCUCUUCAGAGGAAGGGAAGG